rnacentral:rRNA from 1 species
GGAUUGUGAGGUUAAGCGACUAAGCGUACACGGUGGAUGCCCUGGCAGUCAGAGGCGAUGAAGGACGUGCUAAUCUGCGAUAAGCGUCGGUAAGGUGAUAUGAACCGUUAUAACCGGCGAUUUCCGAAUGGGGAAACCCAGUGUGUUUCGACACACUAUCAUUAACUGAAUCCAUAGGUUAAUGAGGCGAACCGGGGGAACUGAAACAUCUAAGUACCCCGAGGAAAAGAAAUCAACCGAGAUUCCCCCAGUAGCGGCGAGCGAACGGGGAGGAGCCCAGAGCCUGAAUCAGUGUGUGUGUUAGUGGAAGCGUCUGGAAAGGCGCGCGAUACAGGGUGACAGCCCCGUACACAAAAAUGCACAUGCUGUGAGCUCGAUGAGUAGGGCGGGACACGUGGUAUCCUGUCUGAAUAUGGGGGGACCAUCCUCCAAGGCUAAAUACUCCUGACUGACCGAUAGUGAACCAGUACCGUGAGGGAAAGGCGAAAAGAACCCCGGCGAGGGGAGUGAAAAAGAACCUGAAACCGUGUACGUACAAGCAGUGGGAGCACGCUUCGGCGUGUGACUGCGUACCUUUUGUAUAAUGGGUCAGCGACUUAUAUUCUGUAGCAAGGUUAACCGAAUAGGGGAGCCGAAGGGAAACCGAGUCUUAACUGGGCGUUAAGUUGCAGGGUAUAGACCCGAAACCCGGUGAUCUAGCCAUGGGCAGGUUGAAGGUUGGGUAACACUAACUGGAGGACCGAACCGACUAAUGUUGAAAAAUUAGCGGAUGACUUGUGGCUGGGGGUGAAAGGCCAAUCAAACCGGGAGAUAGCUGGUUCUCCCCGAAAGCUAUUUAGGUAGCGCCUCGUGAACUCAUCUCCGGGGGUAGAGCACUGUUUCGGCAAGGGGGUCAUCCCGACUUACCAACCCGAUGCAAACUGCGAAUACCGGAGAAUGUUAUCACGGGAGACACAC